rnacentral:rRNA from 1 species
UACGUAGGGUGCGAGCGUUGUCCGGAAUUAUUGGGCGUAAAGAGCUCGUAGGCGGUUUGUCGCGUCUGCUGUGAAAACUGGAGGCUCAACCUCCAGCCUGCAGUGGGUACGGGCAGACUAGAGUGCGGUAGGGGGAGAUUGGAAUUCCUGGUGUAGCGGUGGAAUGCGCAGAUAUCAGGAGGAACACCGAUGGCGAAGGCAGAUCUCUGGGCCGUAACUGACGCUGAGGAGCGAAAGCAUGGGGAGCGAACAGG